GCGCCCCUUCGGGGGAGCGGCAGACGGGUGAGUAACGCGUGGGAAUCUACCCAGCUCUGCGGAAUAACCUGAGGAAACUUGGACUAAUACCGCAUACGCCCUUCGGGGGAAAGAUUUAUCGGAGUUGGAUGAGCCCGCGUUUGAUUAGCUAGUUGGUGGGGUAAAGGCCUACCAAGGCGACGAUCAAUAGCUGGUCUGAGAGGAUGAUCAGCCACAUUGGGACUGAGACACGGCCCAAACUCCUACGGGAGGCAGCAGUGGGGAAUAUUGGACAAUGGGCGCAAGCCUGAUCCAGCCAUGCCGCGUGAGUGAUGAAGGCCCUAGGGUUGUAAAGCUCUUUCAACGGUGAAGAUAAUGACGGUAGCCGUAGAAGAAGCCCCGGCUAACUUCGUGCCAGCAGCCGCGGUAAUACGAAGGGGGCUAGCGUUGUUCGGAAUUACUGGGCGUAAAGCGCACGUAGGCGGAUCGUUAAGUGAGGGGUGAAAUCCCGGGGCUCAACCCCGGAACUGCCUUUCAUACUGGCGAUCUGGAGUUCGAGAGAGGUGAGUGGAAUUCCGAGUGUAGAGGUGAAAUUCGUAGAUAUUCGGAGGAACACCAGUGGCGAAGGCGGCUCACUGGCUCGAUACUGACG
rnacentral:rRNA from 1 species